rnacentral:rRNA from 1 species
GUUUGAUUAUGGCUCAAGUUGAACGCUGGCGGGAUGCUUUACAUGCAAGUCGAACGCGGCAGCACGGACUCGGUCUGGUGGCGAGUGGCGAACAGGUGAGUAAUGUAUCGGAACGUGCCUAGUGGCGGGGGAUAACUACGCGGCGUAGCUAAUACCGCAUGCGCCCUUCGAGGAAAGCGGGGGACCUUCGGGCCUCGCACUAUUAGAGCGGCGAUAUCGGAUUGGCCUAGUUGGUGGGAGUAACGGCCGCAAGGCGACGAUCCGUAGCUGUGGUUUGAAGGACGACCAGCCACGCUGGGACUGAGACACGGCCCAGACUCCUACGGGAGGGCAGCGAUUAAGAAUUUUGGACAAUGGGAAACCCUGAUCCAGCCAUCCCGCGUGUGCGAUGAAGGCCUUCAGUUUAGCAAAAGCACUUUGGCGGGAAAGAAACGGCACGGGAUAAUACCCGAUGCAACUGACGGUACACCUGCAGAAUAAGCACCGGCUAACUACGUGCCAACGACCGCGGUAAUACGUAAGUGCAAGCGUUAAUCAAGAUUACUGGGCGUAAAGCGUGCGCAGGCGGUUCGGAAAGAAGAUGUGAAAUCCCAGAGCUUAACUGGAACUGCAUUUUUAACUACCGAGCUGAAAUUGUGUCAGAGGAGUGGAAUUCCGCGUGUAGCAGUGAAAUGCGUAGAUAUGCGGAGGAACACGAUGGCGAAGGCGGCCUCCUGGACAGCACUGACGCUCAUGCACGAAAGCGGUAAGAACAAACAGGAUUAGAUACCCUGGUAGUCCACGCCCUAAACGAUUGUCAGCAGCUCUUGAGACCCUUCAGGCCUUGGUAGCGCAAUAACGCGUGAGAUUGACCGCCUGGGGAUACGGUCGCAAGAUUAAAACUCAAAGGAAAUUGACGGGGACCCGCACAAGCGGUGGAUGAUGUGGAUUAAUUCGAUGCAACGCGAAAAACCUUACCGCUGCUCUCGACAUGUCUGGAAUCCCGAAGAGAUUUGGGAGUUAUGAAGAGCCGGUUCUCUGGAGAUGUAACAUGGCUGUCGUCAGCUCGUGUCGUGAGAUGUUGGGUUAAGUCCGCAACGAGCGCAACCCUUGUCAUUAGUUGCUACGAAGGGCACUCUAAUACUGGUUUUCUUUCCGGUGACAAACCGGAGGAAGGUGGGGAUGACGUCGAAGUCCUCAUGGCCCUUAUGGGUAGGGCUUCACACGUCAUACAAUGGUCGGGACAGAGGGUCUUCAACCCGCGAGGGAAUGCGAUCCCAGAAACCCGAUCGUAGUCGGAUCGCAGUCUGCAACUCGACUGCUGCGUGGUGAAUCGCUAGUAAUCGCGGAUCAACGUAAAGUAGGUGAAUGCGCGGUUGAGUCUUAACGACACACCGCCCGUCACAUGCUGGUGGGUUUUGCAGAAGUAGUUAGCUCGCAAUACGAGAGGCGGUACUGUGGGUUCGUAUUCGAAGGUGGUAUGUUACCAAGU